GGAUUGACGUGGGAAGGUUGCUUACGUAGUAGAAAUCUGAAAAAUAGCUCCAUAAAUGCAUUAGAUAUAUAUAAACACUAGAUGGCUCAUGGGAGAUUUUCCAGCGUAGCUCACCGGCCGCCAUCUUGCUACAGUCAACAGCUACUCUGGUACGCGCUAGGGUAGCUGUUGUAAGAAGUACCUGACUAUGCCUGACUUUUGUGCAGCCUACGGAUGCUCUAAUCACCGUAGUCUGGAAACAAGAACCAGUGGAAUCACCUUUCACCUGUUUCCCAAAAGAGGAGGCAGUGCAGUUGCCCUAAGAAGGGACGGUUUUGUUUCCUCUGGCAGGACACUGCUCUGCAGUGGGCACUUCAGGAGUGAGGACUUUGACAGGACGGGGCAGACUGUCCGGCUUAAAGAUGGUGUUGU